CCUACGGGAUGCAGCAGUGGGGAAUAUUGCACAAUGGGCGAAAGCCUGAUGCAGCAACGCCGCGUGAGCGAUGAAGGCCUUCGGGUCGUAAAGCCCUGUCAGCAGGGAAGAAAAUGACGGUACCUGAAGCAGAAGCCCCGGCUAACUACGUGCCAGCAGCCGCGGUAAUACGUCGGGGGCAAGCGUUAUCCGGAUUUACUGGGUGUAAAGGGGGCGCAGACGGCGAUGCAAGCCAGGAGUGAACGCCCGGGGCCCAACCCCGGGACUGCUCUUGGAACUGCGUGGAUAGAGUGCAGGAGGGGCAGGCGGAAUGCCUGGUGUAGCGGUGAAAUGCGUAGAUAUCAGAAGGAACACCGGUGGCGAAGGCGGCCUGCUGGACUGCAACUGACGUUGAGGCCCGAAAGCGUGGGGAGCAAACAGGAUUAGAUACCCCAGUAGUC
rnacentral:rRNA from 1 species